AGACAAAUGACGACAGUGUCUUAUCAUGGAGUCAUGGGAGAAUAUAAGAAGAAAAUGCAGACUCCAGAAACCACAGUUAAUGAGAUUACUCAGCUCUUCUGGGAAGACAAUGUAUUCUAAUGAUGGCCCAUUCCACAUGUUGUCUUUUUUAGUGACACUCCUCUCUAUCCACAGGAUGUGUGCCUUGAGCAGCCAGCAACCAUGCUGUGAAGAGGCACAAACGAGCCUAGACAGAUAGAUGAGGUGGAUAGGCUUACAUGGAGUGGAACUGAGGUCC